rnacentral:rRNA from 1 species
ACGGGAGGCAGCAGUGGGGAAUAUUGCACAAUGGGGGAAACCCUGAUGCAGCGACGCCGCGUGAGUGAAGAAGUAUUUCGGUAUGUAAAGCUCUAUCAGCAGGGAAGAUAAUGACGGUACCUGACUAAGAAGCCCCGGCUAACUACGUGCCAGCAGCCGCGGUAAUACGUAGGAUGCAAGCGUUGUCCGGAUUUACUGGGUGUAAAGGGAGCGCAGGCGGGACUGCAAGUUGGAUGUGAAAUGUCGAGGCUUAACCUCGGAACUGCAUCCAAAACUGUAGUUCUUGAGUGGAGUAGAGGCAAGCGGAAUUCCGAGUGUAGCGGUGAAAUGCGUAGAUAUUCGGAGGAACACCAGUGGCGAAGGCGGCUUGCUGGGCUCUAACUGACGCUGAGGCUCGAAAGUGUGGGGAGCAAACAGGAUUAGAUACCCUGGUA